rnacentral:snoRNA from 11 species
CAAUGAAGGAAGCAUGGUAAUGUGCACAUAAAUUAAUUUGGGUCUCUAGGCCUGCCCCUCUGAUGCCAUUUGGCUUUGAUUUAGGGGCAUGGUUUUACAACAAAACG